ACAGCAUAUUUCUAACUUGCCUAUUAUGUGCAUACAAUCUGCAAUGCUUUUCUAUCUCAAAAGUCUGACUUAGAUACCAGAUUGAACUCAACUGAACUUGUCACAACAGUGGACAAUGGAGAAUCGAACUCAACACCACCUAAUUGCAAAUCCCUUUCAUUAACAGAAAUCCUCAGAUGCUACGGGGGUAUUAUACCAUUCAUCCAAAUGCCCCUGACUUGAUGUUGCAACGAAAAGAUUAAACGCAAUUUACAAACCUUCACAUACAUGUGCCGGGAUUUUCAUAUCUCAUCUCAAUUAUUCAUUUAAUC
rnacentral:sRNA from 2 species